rnacentral:rRNA from 1 species
AUGAACAUGCUUUUACUUGUUCCAACAUCAAGAAAUAAGGAUUGGGCGCAUAUUGGCUACAUCUUUGUCGGGCAUCGUGGCCUCGUAUUGGAAAUAUUUGCUUCUGUGCUUUCAAUCUAUCGGGUGUUCCAAACGCCUAUUGGAUGUCGUUUGUUUACUGAUCUGGGAGAGGGAGAGGAGCAGCACCACGCCAUGACCAACAGUACAAAAGGAGAUGAGAGGCAGCUCUACCUGUUGCAGUGUGUGCGUAGCAAGUCACCAGAGAGCAGUAGCACAGCGAGAUCAAAUUUGGACAGAAUUGAAUUACGGCUCAAGAAGAAAUCGAUCAGCCGCCGAAAGCAAUUCAAGAAAGAGGUAUCAAGAAGUGGGUCUGUCAUGGCAAACUCACCAGAUGCAGGGCAGUUAUGCCUGCCAUCCUCCCUGGCGGGGAAGCGCUCGACGAUUCAAUACCGGAGGGGAAGCUGGCUCUGUGGACUCCACCCCCGGCUGGUCGUAGUCGCGAAGCUCCGCGUGGAGGCCGCGGAGGCCGAGCCGCGACCGUGUGGUCGGGGCGGCCGUACGCCGUCACCGCUCCCUUCUCUCUUCCUCUGGCCUCCUCUUGUCCUCCCUUUUCCUCUCCUGCUCAUCUCUCUCUUCUCUCAUAGAUACCCGACGCCAUGCCGCUCCUGCCGACCGUCGUGCUCCAGUGGCGAGGAUGGCAGGGCCCGAUCGGAUCCGGGUGGAUCUGGACGUGAUGGAUCCAUUUCUGGCGGAUUUGGCAUAGAGGCGGCCGGAUCCGGCGAGAUUGAGGGCUGGUGGCGCCAUGGCCCUUCUGGAGGUCCCUGUUCAGUGAGAAAGAGACACAGAGGUGAGAGGAGAUCGAGAGGAAGGAGGAGAGGGGCGGGGCGGUGGAGCGGCCGGCGGCAGGGCGCGGCGGAGGUGUGGGGUUGCCGACGAGGCGGCUUGCGGGGGCGAGAGAAGCUCGGGCAGGAUGGAGCUACGGGAGACGGAGCGGUCUGGCUGGACGCACGCACGCCCGCCGCCGCCGAGUGGUCUGCAGUCCGCCGCAGGCUGCCGGGGCCGUCCCCACGUUCCCGGCCUUCCCGGUCCUCACGUCCCCGUGGCCGUGCUCCGUUGAGCCUGGCCGUGCUGCACUUCUUCUGUGUUGCGCCGUGCGCCCUGCUGGCCCCCGCCAGCGCGGCCUUCCCCAGCGGCGGUGACGAGCAGAGCAACCGACGAGGCAUCGACGGACUCCUCCCCCCGUGCUUCUGCCGCCGCCGGCUGUGUGUAGCCUGCUGCUGCCUACUGCCGCCGCGGCCACCCUUCCUUACGCUGAUCAAGCACAACCUGCCGAUGCCUCCACACUUGCUGACUCGCCCUCUCGCUGACGCCAUCAAGGCUGAACUCGAGAGGCUCUUCCUGGAUAAGGUGGUUGCUAAUCUCGGUCUCUGCGUGUCCGUCUAUGACAUCCUUGCUGUCGAAGGCGGAUUCAUCUUUCCAGGAGAGGGCUGCUUGACGUAUAAAUAUAUGCUCUAUUCUCUUUGUUUUCCCCAUCUUGGAGAGGUUUCCUGUAGGUUAUUGAUGUUCAGGCCCUUCAUUGAGGAGGUUCUUGUUGGGAAGGUUGGUGGAUAUGGUGAGAAACAUUUACAAGGUGACUUGUUAUUUUCUGUUUGA